rnacentral:rRNA from 1 species
UACGAAGGGGCUAGCGUUGUUCGGAAUCACUGGGCGUAAAGCGCACGUAGGCGGACUUUCAAGUCAGGGUGAAAUCCCGGGCUCAACCUCGGAAUUGCCUUUGAUACUGUAGGUCUCGAGUCCGGAAGAGUGGGUGGAAUUCCUAGUGUAGAGGUGAAAUUCGUAGAUAUUAGGAAGAACACCGGUGGCGAAGCGGCCCACUGGUCCGGUACUGACGCUGAGGUGCGAAGCGUGGGAGCAACAGG